UGGGGAAUAUUGCACAAUGGGCGAAAGCCUGAUGCAGCAACGCCGCGUGAGUGAUGAAGGCCUUCGGGUUGUAAAGCUCUGUCUUUUGGGACGAUAAUGGACGGUACCAAAGGAGGAAGCCACGGCUAACUACGUGCCAGCAGCCGCGGUAAUACGUAGGUGGCAAGCGUUGUCCGGAUUUACUGGGCGUAAAGGAUGCGUAGGCGGAUUUUUAAGUGAGAUGUGAAAAUACCCCGGGCUUAACUUGGGUGCUGCAUUUCAAACUGGGAAUCUAGAGUGCGGGAGAGGAGAAUGGAAUUCCUAGGUGUAGCGGUGAAAUGCGUAGAGAUUAGGAAGAACACCAGUGGCGAAGGCGAUUCUCUGGACCGUAACUGACGCUGAGGCAUGAAAGCGUGGGUAGCAAACAGGAUUAGAUACCCUGGUAGUCCACGCCGUAAACGAUGAGUACUAGGUGUAGGAGG
rnacentral:rRNA from 1 species